GAUCGGGUCUACUGGAAUACACUUCAUCCAUUAUUUGGAGACAAUCAUGUGAUUCUUCAUCAUCUACCUCUGGUAGGGGCAGCAAAGUUGCUGGAUUGAGCAUAUUCACUACUCGUAGAUGAAUCCUGGGAUUUUCACACAAUAGGCCUUGGUAUCUAGCCAUCCUUGGAUUCGUUAGCCAAUAACUACCCUUAUAUUCCAUGAGUGUCAGAACAGCAUGAGGUACAUUCACAUACAUCGUCUGGCCAAAGGUAAAUUUAUCAGCUUCUUUGACAAGGCUUGCAGUGGCCGCUACUGCCCUUAGGCAUGGAGGCCAUCCUUUUGCUACUGAGUCCAAUUGUUUUGACAAAUAAGCUACUGGACGGUUCCAACUUCCUAAUCUCUGGGUCAGGACUGCUGCUGCAAUCCCAUUCUGUUCAUGUACAUACAGCUGAAAGGGUUUUUCCGAAUUAGGCAGUCCCAGGGCUGGGGCCUCCAUAAGUCGUUGUUUGAUAGCUAAAAAGGCUUGUUGCUGCUCAGGUCCCCAUACGAAUGGGUCCUUUUCUGCACCUCGAGUGCUUUCAUGUAAGGGCUUGGCCAGACUGCUGAAAUCAGGUAUCCAUAGUCUACAAAACCCUGCUGUUCCCAGGAAUCCUCUGAGUUGUUUCCUUGUGGUAGGUUCCUUGAUAAGGCAAAUAGCUUCUUUCCUCUCUGGUCUCAAUGCUCGUUGUUGGUGUGAGAUGUCAAAGCCCAAAUAUUUGACCUUUUCUAAACAUAACUGUGCCUUUUUCUGGGAAACUCGGUAGCCAGCUUCCCAGAGCAAGUGGAGCAGUUCCUCUGUCCCUUCUUUACAGGUAUCAAAAUCCUUUGCCGCUAGUAUAAGGUCAUCUACAUAUUGCAGAACCACCUUUUUUCCAGGUAUUGAGGGGUAACUUGUUAGAUCCUUCGCCAAGGCAGUGCCAAAUAAAGUUGGGGAAUUUUUGAAUCCCUGGGGCAAUCUUGUCCAGGUUAGCUGGCCUUUUGUUCCUGUCAAAGGGUCUUCCCACUGGAAGGCAAAUAUAGGUUGGCUCUGUGGUGCCAGCCGGCAACAGAAGAAUGCAUCUUUCAAGUCCAAUACAGUAAAAAUGUUGCUUCUGGUGGGAUCAAACUCAGCAAGGUAUAUGGGUUUGGUACAUUUGGGUGCAAGGUCUCGAUAGCCUGGUUUACGAGCCUCAAGUCCUGUACUGGCCUGUAUUCAUCUGUCCCAGGCUUCCGAACAGGCAAAAGGGGUGUGUUCCAUUCUGAUUGGCAGGGCUUAAGCAGACCAUAUUUUAAUAGGCGGUCCAAAUGUUUCUGGAUGCCCUCUGCUGCUCGCCGGGGUAAAGGAUAUUGCUUUACAGAUACAGGGGUAGCCAUAGGUUUUAGGGUUACUACAAUUGGAGCUAUAUUCUUAGCCAUUCCUGGUGGGCUAUUUUCGGCCCAUACUCCUGGUGGCACUUGUAGGGUUCGGAGGAGCUUGUUUAAUUCUGUAUCCAAUGUGGGUUGGACUUGCAGGGCUGACAUUAGGCGCCAUGAUUGUUCCUUAGGUACUGAGAGGGAAUUAUUCCUGCUGCCUUUGAUGGCAGUUUCAUUUCUGGACCUCGAGGAGUGAAGGUGAUUUGGGCCUGCAAUUUGGACAGCAUAUCUCUACCUAAGAGAGGCAUUGGACACUCAGGUAUAUACAAAAACUGAUGGGUUAAAUGAUGUCCCCCAAUCUGGCAUUCUAAAGGUUGGAGGAAAGACCUCUUAGCUGACUGACCAGUGGCACUUUUAAUGACUACACUUUUGGAUGCCUUUUUCUGCAAAAGUUCUGGGAGUACUGAGUAUUCAGCGCCAGUAUCUAUCAUAAAGUCUAUUAAAUGGCUCCCUAAUUGAAUUUUGACCGUGGGCUCCUGGAAGCCUAACUUUAUGGAGUCCGGUCGUUCCUAGUCUUGGGUAAAAUCCUCCUCUGCCAGUCCAAUGAAAUUGUCUCUACUCCGUCCUUGUCCAGGUCUCUGAUAUCUUCCAUCUCGGAUCAUUCCCCGUCCCCGUCCCUGGUUUCUUGGGCCGGAGCCUGGGCCUGGGCCUGGGCGUACUUCUUCCAACCUCAGGGGUUCAGGACACUCCCGCUUCCAAUGACCCUCCUUCUUGCAAUUCGCACAUUGAUUCCUUCCCAGUGGUGGAUUCCUUCCCCGCCCUCUCCCUCCAUUUAAAGGGCGGUAGUCUUGCUUCACUGCUGUGGCUAGCAUCACCAUCUUUUCCUUCUGCCACUUCUUCUUCUCUUGUUUCUCAGCCUCAUCCCUAUUCCGAUAAACUCGGCGUGCAAUGGCCAUAAUUUGGCUCAUCAGCAUCCCUUCCCAGCCUUCUGACUUCUGAAUUUUCUUACGAAUGUCAGAAGCGCACUGAGCCACAAAAGUAGCAGUAAUCAUUCUGCUGUUUGCAGGGGCUUCAGGGUCAAAAGGAGUCCAUAUACGAUAGGCUUCCUGCAGCCUCUCUAAAAAGUCUCCCGGACUCUCAUUCGGUUUCUGUUCUACUUCUGAGACUUUGGUCAUAUUAGUGGGCUUCUGGCAUGCCCUGCGGAUACCUUGCACAAGCGUCUGGCGGUAGGUGGUAAGCCUGGCCAGGUGAAUUGCAUUGUUUGGAUCCCAAUUAGGAUCCUCCAAGGGAAAAUUGUCCUGGAGAUGACGGUCAACAUUAAGAAUAUUUCCCACUCUGGCCUGCUCACGCAAAUAUAUCUGUGCCUUUUCAAUUAUGUCUCUUCUUUCCUCAGUGGUGAACAGAGUAUUCAGGAGCUGGCGGCAAUCUGUCCAAGUAGGACUAUGAGUAUUUACUAUUGAAGUCACCAAGUCCAUCAUAGCCUGAGGUUUUUCUGCGAAAGACGGGGUGUGUGUUUUCCAAUUCAUCAGAUCCGUAGUUGUAAAUGGAAUGUACUGGAGGGUCGAAGUUCGAGGUGGCCGUGGUCCGAGUUGCCCGUUAACCAGCACAGGCUCCUCAAGUGCAUCAAAUACUCUUCUGAGAGGGGCUACUACGUGACCUUUCUCUUCGCUUUGCUUUAGGGGCCUCAAAUCAUAGGGGAUAGUAUUUGUCCCAAGGCGUUCUUUUAACAGCUUUAUACGCCUGGCUGUAUUGCUUACUGACCGAUCAAAGUCUCCCUGUAACUCCUGUAAUAGUUCUCUAGGACUUGGAUGUACAGGGGUUUGGGGUGGGCAAUCAGUUGUUCCACUAAAGGAGACUGUAGAUGGAGUUCUACUGGGACUCACAGGUGGAAUAACCACUUCUGCUUGGGCUUUAUUAUAGGACUCCAAUGCCUCCUGAAGAUAUUUAUCAUAAUCUAUCAAGGAAUCAAGCUCUGUGACUCCAGCCCCAUUAUUCCUUCCACUUUCUUGCCUUGGGGUUACAACUGGUGGAGUGUUUGGAUUAGGCUCCCCUCGAUGUGGAGCAUAGGGUGGAGGUGGAAGCACCUCUUCCUCUGGUCCCUCAAAAAUGGGUUUGAGUUUAUUUGGCAAGAUUCCUUUCCUAGCUUCGGCUUUUACAGCCAAUAAUUUGCAUUGUUGGACUUUGCAUUCCCUUAUCCAUGGAGGAUUAUUAUUUAAUGUGCUCAGCCAAGAAUCUAUAUAUGAAAAUUGUUCUGGGCACCCUCCAGUUUCUUUGGUGAUGUUAGACCAAAGUUUGCUUGCUAAAUUUAUAUCAAAACUUCCCUGAGGUGGCCAUCCAGUAUUUUGUUUUGGCCAGUCUAAUUCACAUAACGUUCUCAAGCGCUCUGGCGUCAUUUUGACUCCAUAUGCUCCUGAGAAGGCUUUCUUAAAAUUAUUUAACAUACAUUCAAGAGGUGUAUUUUCCCCCCUUGAACCUCCAACUCCCAUUGUAUGGCCCUGUGAAGUAUCCACUCAGUCACUCACACACACGCUUCGUGGGGAUCCUUGCCUAGUGAAGUCGCCUUACUAGGAACCGAAGUACUACCCACUCCACACUCAGGUCAGCUACAGAUUGUACUUUCUCACACAUACAAUGCGCUGGAUACUUCACCACACUCUACCUCCCAAUCUUUCCCUUUUCCCUCCACCAGACCACCAUCUGAUGUACCCAACCACCUAGCGUACUCAGUUCCCCCUUACUGAGACGCAGAAGUUUGAUCAAGACUUCUCUUCCUCCCAAUUAAUUGGAGGGCCACAACCCCUUUGUGCACUUACCCUUAGCUGGUUCCCUGUUUAUUUCUCUGGUUACCCCCGGUCCGUCGCCGCCAGUGAGCAGGGUAUCAGACAGACGAGACUUCUGCGUUCCCCUGGAAAAAUGUUCCAGUGCGCGCUGGGUAAGCGGUCAGUGGUCCUCCCUCUUGUACCCUGCCCGCUAGGGCGAAGGGGCUGCGUUCCAGCAGACCACUUAUCCGAGUCACAGAGGCACCAUAAAAUGUAGCACCCUGCUUGUGGUUAACGCUUAGCUGGAAUGAAAUAUUCAACGCAGCAAUAGAGAAAUUAAAAUAAUAAUUUAUUUGUCAGACAAAUAAAUGAGAGACACAGUGGUAUAUGGAUACCAAAGCUCUGCCUACUCCAGCCCUGAUGGCCAGCACUUAUAUUUCCUCAGCCCAGCCCCCUUGCUCCUCCUUUGGCUGCCUCUGUCCAAUCAGCCUGGUUGAAAUUCCUAUUGGUUGUUUGCUAGAACCAAUCAUAAAAGAUACACCCAUUUCCUAUUCCCUUUUAUGGGAGACAAAAAGCUAUAUUUCCUUGUAUCCAUAAAUGGCAGACAAGUAGCCAUAUAUCUUACAUUUACCUCGACCAGGCACCUCAAUUACCAGAUAACCUUUGGCCCCUGUUGCCCUAUUCACCGCAAACCAGAUGGCUAAAGCAGAUGGUGCAUGGUUUCUAAUUUUUUUAUCUUAAAGAGAUCUUGAGUUCACCUUCUCACCCACCAUAAUAGGAAUCUAACAUAAGAAUCUAACAUUUCUUACUUUCUAAAUCCUUUGCAUAAUCACAUUUAAGCCAAUAUAUUUCAUACAUAACAUAGAUAGAUUUUUAGAAGGAAAGGCCUUUUCAAAUUAGAAGGAACUUAGUAAAUUCUCUGAAGCUUCAAAACAGUUUGGAGAGAGGCCUUUUCCCUAACCAGCAGCUGUUUCUAAGAGCAACCUCUUCCAUUUAACCUUUAACCUUAUGGCUCGAGUCUUCUGUUAAACAAUAAAUUUCACUAUUUACCAGUUCUUAAUUGUGUUUUUACAGCUUGAUUGUAUUCUGGUCAGUGUGACCUUUUGCUCUCUGGCUCUAAUUUCCUUUUACAACCUUGAAAUACUUUUAUUUAUAGCAGUGGGGCCCCUUGAACAGCUGCCGGAGUAUUCAGCUGCUCUUCUCCCUUGCAGAGAAAAAUAUAUUUACAAAUAUAAUUUUUUAAGCUCAAAGCAGAUUUUGAUCAGAUGCCUCA